CGAAAACCCCGUCUGUAUCGGCUGGAGACUGACCGUACCGAGUCGAGCUCCGCCUCGACAUCUGCGGAUCGGAAUUUGAAACUGUGGUGAACCUGACCGAGUUGCGUCUAGACAUCAUCAACGACCUGGGAGCGGUGCUGCUGCUGGUCCUGUUGAGGACGGGGAGAUCGGAGGCAGGUACGUGGACGGUGGAAGUCCACGCCGCUCCGGCUCGACGGAGCCGCAGCCGCCCCCGGGACACNNNNN
rnacentral:lncRNA from 1 species